rnacentral:rRNA from 1 species
CCACCUACGGGAGGCAGCAGUGAGGAAUAUUGGUCAAUGGCCGGAAGGCUGAACCAGCCAAGCCGCGUGAAGGACGAAGGUGCCAAGCAUUGUAAACUUCUUUUGUCAAGGGACAAAAUCAGGCUCGAGAGCCUGACCGAGGGUACUUGAAGCAAAAGCAUCGGCUAACUCCGUGCCCGCAGCCGCGGUAAUACGGAGGAUGCGAGCGCUAUCCGGAUUUAUUGUGUUUAAA